GCACUAGUGGUAUAGUGGUAGCAUAGGCCCCUGCCAAUGCUGGUGAGCUGUGGGGCGUCCUCUCUCGGUCCGCCCCUCACCACAUGCAUCGCGGGCCAGACCUGAGUUCGAUUCUCAGCUAGUGCA
rnacentral:tRNA from 1 species